rnacentral:rRNA from 1 species
UACAGAGGUCCCAAGCGUUGUUCGGAUUCACUGGGCGUAAAGGGUGCGUAGGCGGUCGGGUAAGUCUGACGUGAAAUCUCCGGGCCUAACCCGGAAACUGCGUUGGAAACUGCCUGGCUAGAGGAAUGGAGGGGAGACUGGAAUACUUGGUGUAGCAGUGAAAUGCGUAGAUAUCAAGUGGAACACCAGUGGCGAAGGCGAGUCUCUGGACAUUUCCUGACGCUGAGGCACGAAAGCCAGGGGAGCAAACGGG